rnacentral:rRNA from 1 species
CAGUAGCCGCGGUAAUACGUAGGUCCCGAGCGUUGUCCGGAUUUAUUGGGCGUAAAGCGAGCGCAGGCGGUUAGAUAAGUCUGAAGUUAAAGGCUGUGGCUUAACCAUAGUACGCUUUGGAAACUGUUUAACUUGAGUGCAAGAGGGGAGAGUGGAAUUCCAUGUGUAGCGGUGAAACGCGUAGAUAUAUGGAGGAACACCGGUGGCGAAAGCGGCUCUCUGGCUUGUAACUGACGCUGAGACUCGAAAGCGUGGGGAGCAAACAGGAUUAGAUACCCCUGUAGUCCCUGUCUCUUAUACA